CCCUCUAAGUAGAGUAUCUUCUCCAUUCUUCUUUCGCUUAAAAAAUCCUAACUUGUUUGCUGUGGUUCUCGGAAUCAAGAUUGCAACGAUUCUUAAUUUGUAAGGCUUCAAGAUCUGAAAACGUAGAACUGGAAUUUCAGUGGUCAUCAGUGGAUCAACCCUAAUCUGCAAAACAGAACGACUACAGUACAGUGCUUAGCAGGCUCAAAAUAGCAGUGCAAGGAAAAAAAAUUAAACAAUAUCUCAUUUGUGUGCUAGGUACACUGUUUCGCAGGCUCAAAAUAGCAGUGUAAGGAAUAAAAUCGUACAAUACAUCAUUUGUGUGAUUGGGAGAUUGGGAAGUCUAC